GCGCGACUUCUGUGACUUCCCGGGCCCGAGUGUCCCGACGCGCUCGCUCCCCGCCCCGCGCGCCCGCCGCGAACACAGAGGGGUGGACACGCUGCUGGCUCGGGAAGCUUUAAGCAAACGUCUUUGGGGCCGCGCCCUCCCGGCCGGUCAAUCAUCUGCAUUGGUCAGGACCCGGGCAAGGUAGUCCGAGUGCCGGAUCCCGAAGCUGCAGCCGCGAGGCUUCCGGUGCUGCGGGACCAGGAGACGUCGCUGACCUCGCGGGGCCAGCCCUGCAGCCCCGCGCCGGGACCCUCCCAGGAUCCUGACCCUCAUCCCCCGCCUCUGACCCUUGGCCCGGGACUCCAGACCACCUGGGCCACAUUGUAGGCUGCGGGUCCCGGAUUCAGGGUGUUGUCUUGGGGGAGCGAAGUCCGCGCCAGCAUCGAGAACUGGGGGGCCCGAGACUUGUAGAUCCCAGUGUUCACCACGUGCUACACCCCGCCCGGCAGCCCCUACCCCACCUUGCUGAGGUCCUCGAAGAAGUUGCCCACUGCGCUGCGGCCAUAGAUGGAGGAUGCCCCAGUUUCGGGGAGCGAUGGUAUGCCGAGGCGCAGAGGGGUACGUCGCGUUCCCAGCUCGCUCAGGGAAGUACGUGCCUGCGGGGCGGACCGGGUGUGUGGGCCGGAACCGGUUUGGGGCGGUAGUGGGGACCCGGGUUGGGGGUCUGGGGUUAGGGUGAAUCCGAGCCACGAUUUGUCAAAGCCCGGUGGGGCUUGGAGUUCUUUUGAGAUCCGGAUAUGGGGGUACCGAAUUUGGAGUGGUAGGGUACACGAGGGCGGCUCGGGGCUUAGGUGGGGGGUUCCUGGUGGGCCUUCUUGGAGGAGGCUCGGUGUUGGGGAGACCGGGGUCCCAGGGGUCCUGACCGGGUCCGGGAGUGAGGAGGGGCGCUGCGUGGCGGGGCCGGCCGUAGAUGGAGUAGGCGGGGGUGCCGUCGGGGCCGCGCACGGUCAUGCGAGCAGGAACCAGGUGGCCGGGCCCCGGGCCGCAAGAAGUCUGCUGCGUGGGGAGGCGCGCGCCGAAGGAGAAGGCCGGAGCGCGGGGCCGCGACGGGUCGUGCAGGAUGUAGCCUGCGGGAGCGUCCCAGCACCACUAUGGGUCCCCGCCGCUCCCUGUCCCGGACACAGCCCGCCGUCCCCCCAGACGCCGCUAGCCCCCUCCUUGUACACCCGCCCGACGCUGGUACCGGUGUUCGGUGGCAGCUUGUAUUUGGGCCCUGGGCCUCUGUAGAGCGCUGCGAUGGGGCCGCGGGGCCGGUGGGGCCGCCAAGGGCCGACCCAGAUGUCCGAGCCCAUAGCGCGCAAGGGUGGGGUGCGCUUAAGGCCUGCGGUACCUGUGGACAGAAGGUGGCGGCCCCGGCCCCUCCACCCACAGCUUCCGCAGGACGCACUUCUCGGCUCCAGCUCCUCGCGACUCCGGGGGCGGGGCCCAUCGUGUAUCCCAGGAGCCGGGAAAACAAACCCGAGCUUUCCCGGCCCUGCGCGGGGGCGGGGGCCCUAUCUCCCAUCUCCUGCCCCCAAAACGAGUCCAGUAGGGAUGUGUGAGCGCGCAAAGUUUGGUCUCGAUCCUGCGGGAAAGGAAUUCCCUGGGGUUCUGGGGGUCGGGAUAUUUUAGGGG